CAGUCGUACCUGCGGAUAAUCAGCCUUUAGGAUGCGAUUUUGUGGAGCGUGAGGAGCUAAUCGCCUUCAUGCCUAUAUAUUCGUGUACUUGGGGUGUACUUGCCUGUGUGGUUAGUUAACAUCAAUUUUGGUUAUCAUAAAAUGGUUGGAGGAAUGUAGCUUCGAUCUCGUAUUGAAGUGUUAUAGCCUUCGGCAGAUGUGAUGAUCGAGAUUGAGGAUUGCAACGGAUACCUUCGGGGCUACCUGUCUGAUCUCUG
rnacentral:rRNA from 1 species